rnacentral:rRNA from 1 species
CGGGUGAGUAACACGUGGAUAACCUACCUAUAAGACUGGGAUAACUUCGGGAAACCGGAGCUAAUACUGGAUAAUAUAUUGAACCGCAUGGUUCAAUAGUGAAAGACGGUUUUGCUGUCACUUAUAGAUGGAUCCGCGCCGCAUUAGCUAGUUGGUAAGGUAACGGCUUACCAAGGCAACGAUGCGUAGCCGACCUGAGAGGGUGAUCGGCCACACUGGAACUGAGACACGGUCCAG